rnacentral:lncRNA from 1 species
UUCUUGUCAAUAUGCGCUAUAGGCGCAGGGCGCACGUCCUUACUGAUCACUGUGGGUAUUUUGUGAGGAGGUGCCAAUUUGACUAUACCCUGUGCCAAUUUGACCAGGUGCCAAUUUAACCAAGUGCCGAUUUGACUAGAAUUCUUAAGUUUUCUAUGUUGUGUCUUGUGUACUAUCUACUAUUAUUUGGCUGUUCAUCUUUUUUUAUUUUUAGACAAGGCAUUAUCAGUUUGCUUUCGAUCUAUGUCCCUCUGUAGAACAAAUAAUGUUGAUAUCUCCGAAGGUUAUUUCAAAUUUUUGCUUCAACUGCUUCCUGUCGAUGUAUUAAGGCGUCAAAGAAAAAAAAUGUUCAAG